ensembl:misc_RNA Metazoa_SRP Metazoan signal recognition particle RNA
GCUGGGCAUGGUGGUGAAUGCCUUUAGUCCUAGCUACUCAGGAGGCCAAGGCAGGAGAAUCGCUUGAACCCGGGAGGCUGAGGUUGCAGUGAGCCAAGACAGUGCCACUGCACUCCAGCCUGGGUGACAGAGUGAGAUCCUGUCUUAA